UGGGGAAUAUUGCGCAAUGGGGGGAACCCUGACGCAGCCAUGCCGCGUGAAUGAAGAAGGCCUUCGGGUUGUAAAGUUCUUUCGGUAUUGAGGAAGGUUGAUGUGUUAAUAGCACAUCAAAUUGACGUUAAAUACAGAAGAAGCACCUGCUAACUCCGUGCCAGCAGCCGCGGUAAUACGGAGGGUGCGAGCGUUAAUCGGAAUAACUGGGCGUAAAGGGCACGCAGGCGGUUAUUUAAGUGAGGUGUGAAAGCCCCGGGCUUAACCUGGGAAUUGCAUUUCAGACUGGGUAACUAGAGUACUUUAGGGAGGGGUAGAAUUCCACGUGUAGCGGUGAAAUGCGUAGAGAUGUGGAGGAAUACCGAAGGCGAAGGCAGCCCCCCGGGAAGGUAUUGACGCUCUCAUGUGCGAAAGCCGUGGGGGCCAAAACAGGAUUAGAUUCCCUGGUAGUCCACGCUGUAAACGCUGUCGAUUUGGGGGUUGGGGUUUAACUCUGGCGCCCGUAGCUAACGUGAUAAAUCGACCGCCUGGGGAGUACGGCCGCAAGGUUA
rnacentral:rRNA from 1 species